UACGUAGGCAGCAAGCGUUGUUCGGAGUUACUGGGCGUAAAGGGUGUGUAGGCGGUUCUUUAAGUUUGGUGUGAAAUCUCCCGGCUCAACUGGGAGGGUGCGCCGAAUACUGAGGGACUAGAGUACGGGAGAGGAAAGUGGAAUUCCUGGUGUAGCGGUGAAAUGCGUAGAUAUCAGGGGGAGCACCGGUGGUGUAGACGGCUUUCUGGACCGUAACUGACGCUGAGACACGAAAGCGUGGGUAGCAAACAGG
rnacentral:rRNA from 1 species